UUGCCAGCCCGCUCAGAAACUCAAAGGAAUUGACGGGGGCCCGGCACAAGCGGAGGAACAUGUGGUUUAAUUCGAUGAUACGCGAGGAACCUUACCCGGGCUUGAAAUGCAUCUGACCGGCCUUGAAAGAGGUUUUCCCUUCGGGGCAGAUGUGUAGGUGCUGCAUGGUUGUCGUCAGCUCGUGCCGUGAGGUGUCGGCUUAAGUGCCAUAACGAGCGCAACCCUCAUCAUUAGUUACCAUCAGGUAAGGCUGGGGACUCUAAUGAGACUGCCAUCGUAAGAUGUGAGGAAGGUGGGGAUGACGUCAAAUCAGCACGGCCCUUACGUCCGGGGCGACACACGUGUUACAAUGGGUGGUACAAAGGGCAGCUACCUGGCGACAGGAUGCUAAUCUCCAAAACCACUCUCAGUUCGGAUCGGAGUCUGCAACUCGACUCCGUGAAGCUGGAUUCGCUAGUAAUCGCGCAUCAGCCACGGCGCGGUGAAUACGUUCCCGGGCCUU
rnacentral:rRNA from 1 species